GAAUGUCAAGCUACAAAGGGUACAUGGUGGAUGUCUAGGCGCUGAGAGACGACGAAGGACGUGGAAGACUGCGAUAAGCUUCGGGGAGCUGUCAAACAAGCUGUGAGCCGGAGAUUUCCGAAUGGGGAAACCUACUAUGGGUUAAUACCAUAGUAUUGGUAUCUGAAUAUAUAGGGUAUCAAAGGAAACGGAGAGAAGUGAAACAUCUCAGUAACUCCAGGAAAAGAAAGAAAUUUUGAUUUCCUAAGUAGCGGCGAGCGAACGGGAAAAAGCCCAAACUGGCUGUGUGUCAAACCCUUGUGUGUUGCACAGUCGGGGUCGUGGGGAUUGCAUAAGAUAGGACAAGGACUGUCUGGGAAGUUAUAAAUGUAAUUUUUAGCUGAAUAGUGCAGGAAAGCCUAACCAUAGAAGGUGAUAGUCCUGUAGGCAAAAAGAAUUACACUUCCUUUGCAAUUACCCAAGUAACAUCCGUCUCGUGAAAGCGGAUGUGAAUUAGGGGAGUCCACUCUCUAAGGCUAAAUACUACUCAGCGACCGAUAGCGCACUAGUAGCGCGAGCGAAAGAUGAAAAGCACCCCUGUUAGGGGGAUGAAAUAGAACCUGAAAUCGUGUACUUGCGAGCGGUGGGAGCACAAUGAUUCUAUAUGACAUAGAAUGGUGUGUGACCGCGUGCCUUUUGCAUAAUGAACCGGCGACUUACUGUGCAUUGCUUGGUUAAGUCUUUAUUGGACGGAGCCGCAGCGAAAGCGAGUGUGAAAUGCGCGAUUAUGUAGUGCAUAGUAGACCCGAAACCAGGUGAUCUACCCUUGGUCAGGAUGAAACGAAUGUAAAAGUUCGUGGAGGUCCGAACGCACUUGCGUUGAAAAGCGAGGCGAUGAACUGAGGGGAGGAGUAAAAGUCUAAUCAAACUUGGUGAUAGCUGGUUCUCCUCGAAAUAGCUUUAGGGCUAGCCUUAUGGAAUUAAGCAGUGGGGGUAGAGAUACUGAAUGAGUAUUGGGGUCCACCAGACUACCAAAUUCAAUCAAACUCCGAAUACUACUGUUGUCUACCAUAAGAGUCAGACUGUGGGGGAUAAACUUCAUUGUCAAGAGGGAAACAACCCAGACCGACAGCUAAGGUCCCUAAAAUAGACUAAGUGAUAAAGGAAGUGAGAGUGCUAAGACAGUUAGGAUGUUGGCUUAGAAGCAGCAAUCAUUUAAAAAGUGCGUAAUAGCUUACUAACCGAGCAUUUUUGCGCCGAAAAUAUUACGGGACUAAGUCUAUUACCGAAGCUUCGGAUUUUUGCAAUUAUUCGUAAUUGCAAAAGUGGUAGGGGAGCGUUCUAUAAAAGGUUGAAGAGAGACUGAAAAGACUCUUGGACGAAAUAGAAGUGAUAAUGCCGGUAUAAGUAGCGAUAAUAUAAGUGAGAAUCUUAUUCGCCGCAAGCCUAAGGUUUCCUGGGGAAGGUAAAUCCGCCCAGGGUUAGCCGGAGCCUAAGUCAAGGCUGAAAGGCGUAGACGAUGGACAACAGGUUAAUAAUCCUGUGCCACCGUAACAGCGUUGAGCAUGGGGGGACAGAGGUGUGAAGGUUAUCAAGUCCAAUAGACACGGCUUGUUCAAGCCGGAGAUGUUGUCUCAGGCAAAUCCGAGACGUAUGGCAUCGAAGGUGAGUACGUGGGCGUAUGCCCUUAAGUAACUGGAGCAUCUUUCAAGAAAAGCCUCGUUUGCGAGCUGUUAUGGUGUCCGUACUAAAACUGACACAGGUAGGCGGGGAGAGGAUCCUAAGGCGCUCGAGAGAACCCUCGUUAAGGAACUCGGCAAAAUCACUCCGUAACUUCGGGAGAAGGAGUGCCUCGAAUAAAAUCGAGGCCGCAGUGAAAAGGCCCGGGCGACUGUUUACUAAAAACACAAGUCUCUGCCAAGAUUUAAAAUCAACGUAUAGAGACUGACGCGUGCUCGAUGCCAGAACGUUAAGGGGAUGGGUUAGUGUUCGAAAGAAUACGAAGCUCAGAACUGAAGCGCUGGUGAAUGGCGGCUCUAACUAUGAGAGUCCUAAG
rnacentral:rRNA from 1 species